CAUUUUUGGCUGCCUCAGUGUGCCUCUGUAAUUACUGUAUAGCUUUGAAAAACCAUCUCCGGGAUGUUGAGAUGAUAAUACACCAAACCCAGAGUGAGGAGUUUAAGAUUCUAAGAAGGAAGGAAAUGGAUCCCCAGACGACUAGAUCAUCUCUAAUCACCUUUAUUGAAUACGUAACACGGGCUGGGCUGUGUCCUUCGUGCUUUACAUGGAUUGAGUCUUUUCAUUCUCGAAACAGCACUGUGAGGUCAGUGCUUAUGACCUCCAUUCUAGAUGAUGAAAUCUGGACGAAGAGAGCUAAACCGACCAAGGUCACAUGGCUUGGAAGUGGGGAGACUGAAGCCUGGCCCAGAGUCUAGAUUUUAACCAUUAAAUUAUGAUUCCUCAUGUAAGGUGCUCCUGGAUUUAGUAUAAACUUCAGUUUGCUUUUAAAGUUACUUGAUCCUGAAUGCAUUAAAAAAAAAACAAUCUAUGUAGCACCUUGGAGUAAUGAAUAGAUUGGGAGCCGGGAUGCCUGGGUUUGUCUUCUGCUUGGCCAGCUACGUGACCCUGAAUAAUUUUGUUUCACUUCUCCGGGCUUUGAUUUCCCCACUUGUAAAAGGGGUUUUCCCAGGACCUAGUAGGGUCCUAGAUGAUCGCAGGUAACCUUUUUCAGCUCUAAUAUUCUACGAUUUAAAAUCUCCUUUUGGCCCUAUUAAAUCUUAAAAUACGAAUGAAGUUGGACAGUCUAAAAUUUCUCUUUCUAUAUUAUCUUUAGAGUUUCCAGUUUUCACUCUGGGGACAAAGGGAGUGGAAGGAAGUAGAGGUUAAGCAGAGGAUAAAGGAGAUAGAAGGUUAGGCGAGAAAUACGGUUAGAAGAGACCCGCAAUGUGUGCGUGAGGAGGGCAGGUGGAAGCUGGAACUUUCACAACAGCCAGCGAGGUCCAGGCGGUCAGAGGUGGACUUUAAUCAGUGAGCCUGGAUUGCCGAGGUGAAGACAGUCAGUCUUCACUGACUGUGGAGACUGUCUUGAUGAAGACAGUCUCCACAGCUUAACACUGAAUGGCACAGUCGUGGUUCUUAAAAAUACGUUGUGUUUUUAGUAUAGAGUGCGUUAAACGCCACGCUCUCCUCGUCUCGCUGCGUGGAUCCUGUCGCUCAGGAGGCUUGUUUUAAGACUCAACUGCCUCCAGGGCAGGGCCUGCAUCCUGCUUCUCUCUGAGGAACCCAGGUUCUCAAAUGCUGGUAAGUAUCUGGCAUUUAGCAGGGGGCAGACAGUGUUUGUAAGCAGCCCUUGGAGGGUCCAGGUGAAGAAGGCUGUCAUCUCUGGGGGCCGGAGGCUGGUGAGAUGGGGUCUUUGGUCAGAUUCCACUUAGGAGUUCAGAAUUUGAAUCUUGGGACCCUUCUCUGAGGUUGCGUCUCAGGACUGGGUGAAUUUGUAUUUCACUGUAGCCAAAGAGGGCCCAGCAAAUCCAUGAUGGCGGUCACAGGAAGGGGACAGGUAGGUUAAAGGCAGCUACCUGCUCUUGGCUGGGGUGGGGGAAAAGGGGGAAUCUUCGCUUUUAGGGGAGGAGGCGACAGGAAGCUGUUUUCAAGAGGCAGCCAGACUGGUUUUGUUUGCCCCCAAGUUUUACUUUAACCAGGUUGUUUAAUUGAAACUUCACUGGCCCUUAACUUCUGGAUUGACUUCGGUGUUUGAGACCUGAACUUUCUUUCAUGUAAUUAAGUCAUGAUUUCUACCUAGGAAGCUACUCAGCCACAAACUGAAAAAAAUAAAUAAAAUAAGGUCAUAAAAAAACUUUUUUGCAGGCCUGGAACUGCAUAUUCUUUGAAGAUGACCUUAAAGAAACAUGGACACUUUCAUUCACUUAAUUAAAAAUAAAAAGGCCUAAAACUGCAACCCGCUAAUCUAUAGAUGUGGCAAUAGAUCACUAAACUGGUUUUGUACUUGGAUGUGCCAGUUCAGGUUCCUUAGUUUUUUUUUUGUUUUUAUUUUUUGCGGUACGCGGGCCUCUCACUGUCGUGGCCUCUCCCGUUGCGGAGCACAGGCUCCGGACGCACAGGCUCAGCGGCCACGACUCACGGGCCCAGCCGCUCUGCGGCAUGUGGGAUCUUCCCGGACCGGGGCACGAACCCGUGUCCCCUGCAUCGGCAGGUGGACUCCCAACCACUGCGCCACCAGGGAAGCCCCUCCUUAGUUAUUUUUGGUUAUUGUCCUUAGGAUUCUUAAAGGAGGAGAGACCUUAUGAGUAUUUGAGAAACAGCUCAGUUGUAAUUUUCCUUUAAGAGCCAAGCUUAUUGUUUUGAAAGAUUCAAGGAGAGUGUAUUAAUUUUUCUGAUGAUCUUACUCCAACUGAGGCUUUAUAGAUAAUGGGGAGCAAAAGGAAUCUAGCAGAAUGCAUCUGGAGCCUCAAAGUUUUAUGGAAACCUGCUGGUGUUAAUUUUACUUAGAGUCUGUAUGUGGUUGCCAUAGUGCCAACCUCUGAUUUUCUGGAGCCGUAGCACAUUAUAGAUGCCCAGGAAACAGUUGCUGAUUUGUUAAAUAAAAAUUGAUAAAGUGAAAGUACUUCAUAUGUUGCUUGCAUAGUGGAUGGACCAGCAGCUGGUUUCUCUAAUGUUUUAAAACAUGGAUCUAGGGAGGCUGUAUUGACAAUGACCUAGAAACUCUCUAUUGCCUUUCAUUUUCGGGGUUUUGAAUUUGACCUCUUGAUUUUGAUUCAUAUGAAUUAUUCUGAGGAAGCCCGAAGCCAAUUUUGCCCUGCUGGUAGUUACAUCUUUUUUUAAAAAAUUUAUUUUUUUUAAAUUUUUAUUUAUUUUUCGGCUGUGUUGGGUCUUUGUUACCGCGCGCGGGCUUUCUCUAGUUGCCGCGAGCAGGGGCUGCUCUUCGUUGCGGUGCGUGGGCUUCUCAUUGCGGUGGCUUCUCUUGUCACGGAGCACGGGCUCUAUGUGUGAGGGCUCAGGAGUUGUGGCUUGCGGGCUCUAGAGCGCAGGCUCAGUAGUUGUGGCGCACGGGCUUAGUUGCUCCCUGGACCAGUGCUCGAACCCGUGUCCUCUGCAUUGGCAGGCAGAUUCUUAACCACUGUGCCACCAGGGAAGCCGAGUAGUUACAGCUUGAAAAUUCUCAUUGCUGUAUUGUAGGUGGGUGUGGGGAGUAAGUAAGAGCAAAGCUAUGAAAAAUAAGAACAUUUGUAGUUGAUUAAAGUAGGAAAUUGGAUGAGCCAAGACAAAGCUACCUUUUCUCCCAUAUUUCUUGUUUCCUUUUAAUUGCAUUGCUUUUUUGCCAGGGCUUAACACAUCCUGCGUGUGCCAUGGUGAGUGACCCCGAUGCGGUCCUGGCCUCGUGGAGCUUUUAGGCUGGGCCAAGGCUGUUCUCUGUGAUAGAAUUUUCUGUGAUGAUGGAAAUGUUAUGUGUUUUUGCUGUCCAGUAUGGUAGCUUGAGAUUAUCAAGCACUUAAAAGGUGGCUAGUGUAACUGAAUUUAUAAUUUUAAAAUUUUAAUUAGUUUUAAUUAAUUUUAAUUUAAAUAGCCACAUAUACCUAGUGGCUACCACAUGACACAGCAUGGAUAUAAGGAGUAUAACAAUUCCUACAAAGAAGGGCUAACAGGAAAUGUACAUAUUUUAUGAGUCAUCUGAUUUAUUCUGUUUUAUAUCAGAAGGCUUUACUGAGAGCUUCCUGUAUACCUAGUAAAGAAUGCACAGAGGUGUUGUUUCUGAGGCACUGGGUCGGUGGGUGGUAGAAAGGUUUAGACGGGCAUGUGGUGGUGGAGUGUUAGGUGGAGAGGUACAUGUAAACGAUAAUAAUUCCCAACAAUAAAUGCUUCCACCUUCUUUUUAUAGCAUGUCCGUUUCAUGCAUUCUCAGUGGAUAAGAUAUCAUUCCAAAGGGGGUGCAAAUUGGUUCUUGAGGAGAGAAGGGGUUCUUACCCUUUUUAUGUGUCAGGUACAGAUAUGCAUACAGUAAUACGCAGACAUACGUAGGUCUGUGGAAUUAACGUUUUAUGAGGAGGGGGGUGAUUAGGAAAAAUGUGUCCAAAAAAGGCUCUUUAUGGGAGCAGGAAAAACGGACAAGCUUGAGAAAACUGUUUUGUGAUGAAGCCUAGCUUUUAGGAAAGGUCAGCCUUUUGCUUGUUGCCUCCUUCAAGGUGCAUUUAAGGAAUUUUCAUGAACCUGAGGAGGGUGAUUGCUGUUGGUGUAUCUCCUUUACUUGAAAUAUCUUGGCAAAAUGAAUCCGUAUCACCAGAUUCUGUAGUCAGAAAGUCACCUAGUGUUGAACAAUAAGUGGAUUCAGAGGCAUCCAAGACUGGGUUGCCUUCUCACGGUUAUGUAUUCACCAUUUGUAAAUAUUUUGAAUCGUGAUGAAUGCAAAGAACAACUUUAACGCUGGGUUGUGUCAAACUGCCCUUUAUUAAUUGGGCUUUGUGGCUGUAAUCCUUUUAAUGAGGAUAUGUAUGUGUGUCUGUCUGUCUAUACACACACAUAUCUAUACAACCAGUAUCUGUAACAACAUAUAUAACAACCUUUGUGUAUAACAUAUAUAUACACGUGUGUGUGUAUGUAUAUAUAAGCAUAUACCUAUACAUACAUAUAUAUAUUAGCUGAAAGAACUGAAGCAUUGGACUGGUCUUAGUAGCAGAUUCUUGCUUAGAAUGACAGAGAGACAAAUUCUCUGUUCCAGAACAACUGGUUUCUAUGUAGAGCUCAUCUUUGAUAUGCUUACAACUUAUGGGCUGUAAGUGGGACCAAAGGGCUAUGGUGGGACCAAAACCUGGAAUAGCUUUAGUGUAGCCUUAGUCACUUCCUUCAGCCCCUCAAGCCGCUCCGAAUCUGUGUACAUAUAUGUGUAUGUAAUCUGUUUCUAUUGAAUACCUAUGAGUUUCAAUCUUAUAUGAAGUACAAAAAAAUUUUGUACAUGAUUGCUAUUUCUAAUAAUAUGUAACCUAGCUAAAAACUGUAUGCCUAUUAAAUAUAACUUCAAGAUAUAAAGUUUCCAUCUCUUCUGAGAUUUUGGAGCUAUCAUUGACCUAGUAAGGGAUGACAUAAAAAGAUAUAAUGCCUUUUGAAAUGAGCUCAUAAAUGUGCAUUCCGCUCUGGGUUUCAUUAUUUUGAUGUUUUUCUACUCUGAUGGACCUUGAGUCAUUUUAACGCAUCAGCACAAUACAUUUAAUCCUACAUACUCUGCUUAGGAUAAAACAACUUUUUAAAAAUGGCCCUGUGAAUGUGAGGUUUGUCUUACCAUUUUCCAUUUUUUAAAAAUGUCAUUAGUUUUUGGUUUGCUUUACAUGAAACUCAGACUUGGUGUUGAGUCUGGCACAGUGGGGAGACAUGUGGAUUUUAAACUUUUUUUUUACAAAGCACACUAUAGGUAAGGACGAGGAAUAACAAAGGAAUCCAUAUGUUUAUUGAGUAUUUUCAUUGAAUAAAUUUCUAAAAAUCUUAUUUUCUGUUUUUUCCCCCUCCUCUGUUGUGUUAAAGGAGUUAGGAGAUGGGGACUUUGUAUACUCAAUUAAUUUGAUGGGCAAAUUGGUAUAUUCCAGGAGAUUUGGAAUCAUGAGUCAAGCAUCACUGGUGCUGAAAUGAAAAUCCCUCAUUUCCAAUCCCAUCUUGAUACUAAAAGUGAUCCCUGACAGUAGCAGCGUUUCCCGCUCUACAAGUGGCUUAUUAUUGAUCUUUGAUUGGGUAGCAGCAGUUGCCAGAGAUGGGGGCUGUUUCCUUGUGGCCUGCCUAGAUGGUAUUUGGCUUUUCACUGCACCUUCCCGAAAUGCCCUUGAACAGUUAUUGUGCGUUAGCCUGAAGGGCACUAACCUGAGUCCCACUUUUACAUACGUAUCUUCUGGGUGUCCACAGCAGGAUGUCACUAGAAUCCUAAUAUCCUCUACCAGGGAGAGUUAGGGAUGUAAAAAUCCCACACCCAAGCCCUUGUGUCCAGUUAAGGCUUGUCCUCCCACUGACCAAGAGGAGCAUUUGCUCCCACUGAAGUCAGUAGUGUUUCUCUGGUUUGACUUAAUUCAAGCAACGCCAGGGAAAAUAUGAUGCAUGCUGUUCUGUUUAACCUCGGCAGCCUUAAUAAACGCUGGUGAAUUACAUGGUGGCAGUGGUAGCAGUGGCAGUGGGGAGGAAGGUCCAAGCGUGGAGGGGAUGUGUGUUUUUAUGGGUGACUGGGUCGGUCUGCGUGCAGCAUGGUUAUUUGUGUCAUUAGGCAGUUUACAUAAUGAAGUGGUCUACUCAGCAGCUCCAUCCUUCCAGCUGCCUGCGGGGCUGUCUGCACAAGCAGGGGGGGGACUCUCCCACCAUCAUCUCCCUCCCGCCCUCCUCCCCACCCUAGCUCUUUCCCUUUGCUUUUCGUUUUGGCUUAAAAUAACUAAACCCCUCCACCCCAUCCCGCUGCCACACACACAGACAUACCAGAGUCACGUUUGGUAAAAUAUGAAUUCGCAUUAAUGAAAACGUGCAAUUAUUUGAAUUCAUACAGACGAGGCAAUUUUUUUUUUUUAAACAAUGCUUGCUUAUGGAAGAUCAUUUGCCAUAGAGUUGUGAACUUGGUUUGUUCUGCCUGCCUCAGAUAAAAAUAACCAUUUGGAGUGUAAACAUGAACUUGAAGACACUAGAAGUUGUCAAACUAGUAUUUUUCUAGGCUGAGUCUGUUCUGCCUGAUUGCAUAGCUGCCUCCCCUCUGCUCAGAUAAAGCCCCAGCCUGAACAUGCACGAAAUGUGAAAACUACUUUGAACUAAAAAUUUCACCUUAGCUGUUCACUUGUGCUCUGCUGGAAGAAACAUGUGGUAUUGGGAAAGCACUCAGAAGAGAGAAAGUGAGAGAAAAAGAAUAUCCCAAAGGUCUUCCCUCACCCAGAGUCUGGCAGUGAAUUCUCCUGAUAUAAUAUAAAGAAAUUUGAUUCUUAUACACUGCUUUUGGGAACAUAUCUAUGGCCUGACAUGAGAAUUACCUGGUGGUUUGAUGCCUUGUUUUGUCUUGUUUAACAUAAUGCUCUGGUUUUUCAUUUUUAGAAGGUAGAGAGUCUCUCUUGUAGACCAUCUAGUAAGUAGUGCAACCUUUUCAUUUUUACAGGGCACACUCAGCGAGCUGAAGUCACUUGCCUGAGGCCGCUCAGCUUGCAGUGGGGACAGUGGGAUUCUCACUCUAGGUCAGGGCUUACUGUCCUGUGGUUUCCCCUGAAAGCCACCUGGCCAACCGCUUGUUGACUUCAGCUCUUGAGACCAUUCAAGUAGGAAAGAACAUGAGCUAUGGAGAAAAGCUCGGUCCUGGGCUCUCAGUUGAUUAUCGUUAGUCAAGAUUUUUGUUGGCUUGUUUGUUUAUACGGAAUCCUUGGUUGUCUGGUUUCCCAAAAUAGUUUUCCACUUCCAUUGCAGUCCUUUCUUUUUCUAUGGAAGAUGUUUUUGUUUUCUUUUAGCCCUCUGUGUGUGUGUGUGUGACAGCCUGUUUUGCUUAUAUUUUAAUCAUCUGUUAUGUUUGACAUAAGCAUAUUUAUCUGUAAGAAUAACUUGGCUUCUUUCAUCUACGUUGUCUUAGUUUUGUAAAUAUAUUGAUCUAUGCGCGUGUGUGCGUGCGCACACACACACAUACACACACGGUAUGUUUUUUGAUUCCCAAAUGUUUAAAAUUGCCAUGGGACAUCUUAUGUCUAGUAAAAAGAUACUGCUGUGGAAAUCUGCAGCAUUUCCUGCUGUGAGUGCCAGGGCCCAGGGACCCCGGUUACCAUGGAAACCAACAUGGAGCCGCUGGGUGGUGCUUUCCUUUAGAGCUGCAUUUGAGUGCAUUUUGCAGACAGCUACAGUGCUGCAUCUUCCCCCCACCCCCUUUCAAAUUAGGAGGGGGAAAAUGCUGAGUGAUUACAAAUAAAAAGAAACUACUGUUCCAGCCAAGGCAGAAAAAGAUCUUUAAAAUGUACUGUUUUAACGUGAUUGCCCAUAGUGGGGCAAUACAGUUCUCUGAAGAUGGCUAAAGGUACCUGAUAAAAUACAAAGGAAGUGUGGAGGAGAUAGUGAAAAUGGAACCUUCAUCCUGUGCUACUGACCUGCAGGCUUCUUUUUGGGAAUGACGGGCAUGCAAGACUGACACAGGCUUUAUUCCCACUGACUCUGGUUGAGCCCGUUCAGUUUGUCGCAAGGGCUUGACGGCAGACAAAAAAGACCUUCAGCACUCUGCACGUGCCUGCCACCCUCCAUUUCCUUUUUUUUUUUUUUUUUUUGCGGUACGCGGGCCUCUCACUGCUGUGGCCUCUCCCGUUGAGCACAGGCUCCGGACGCGCAGGCUCAGCAGCCAUGGCUCACGGGCCCAGCCGCUCCGCGGCAUGCGGGAUCCUCCCGGACCGGGGCACGAACCCGUGUCCCCCGCAUCGGCAGGCGGACUCUCAACCACUGCGCCACCAGGGAAGCCCCACCCUCCAUUUCCUGACCCCUCUCUCUCAGAACCCACCCAGAGAACCAGAUCUGAGAGCCUGGAGAGCUCCCCCGAAUUUUAGCCCUCGAUUUGCCAUUUAAGCACGUGAGUGCCAUCUGUGCUUGUUGAAAGGCUGUGCUGAUUAUGAGAGCGGUACUUCAUUCGGAUGAUACCAUUUAAAGCCAAGCGCAAGAUGCGUUGCUUGUGCUGGACCCGGAGGAAAAAAUGAACCGUGUCAACACACCCCUGACCUCCCACUGGUGGUGGUCCUGUUGGUCACUGGCCACAGGUGGGCUUCCAGCACGUUUGUGAGGGAGAUGCAGUGAUCCCCAACGCCAGGCUCCCACUGCCCAUCAACAGACUCCUGUUUCAUGAGACUGAAGGAUAAUAAAAUUGCAUCCAACCAUGUUAGAUGGAUGCCUUUGUGCUCUGGUGUUUGCUUUUCCAAAUGUGUGUGUACAAAGCAAAUGCCAGGAGUGUGUGCUAUUCGGAAACAGUGAAGUACCUUGGAGCCCUUGCCUGUUGCAGGCGGCGGGGACCUUAGUCCAGCCUUGGCCUUGAGGAUCUGCGGAGGGCCCUCUACCUGUUGAGGCUCUCAGCUAGCCUGAUCUCAUUGAGGAAGGUAGUAGGAACCCCGUUUUGCCAACAAGGGAAACCGGCCGGUGACUUGAAGCGCCUUGGUUAAAAUGCCACACAGCUCUGAAGCAGCAGAGCCUGGAGUGUGUGUAUCCGCUCUUCAGGACCCGUCAGUCCGCCUUCUUUCCACCUCUGAGUUCAGUUGGAUAUAGGGAAUCACCUGGGAAUUUAGAGUCUCAGCCCAGCACUCUAGACAUUUCGGGCUGCAUAAUUCUUUGUUGUGAGGGCUCUCCUGUGCAUUACAGGCUGUUUAGCAGCAUCUCUGGUCUCUGCUCCCCAGUUGUGAAAAUCAAAAAUAUUUGUAGCCAUUGCUGAAUGUCCCCUGGUGGGGCAAAAUGACCCUGAUCGAGAACCACUGAGGUAGACCUCUUAGGUGUUUUUAUUUGGCAGUUUAAUGGACCCGCGGCUCUGCCUUUUCUUGAGGCGGUUGUGGACAGCUUGGUUCAUUUAAGCUAGGCUUUAAAUUAUUUGUAACUAUUUUAGGAUUUUAGAAAUUUGACGGUCCAUGCAUUGUUUCAUCUGGGAAAUGACCACCAUGCUGAGUUGUGUGUAAAACUUUAUGAAGAGUCCACAUCUUACCAAAAAGGAAUGCUUCCUUUUUUACUCAAAGGCCAUUUCCCACAGUGAAAAUAUGCAGGGUUUUUUUUUUCCCACCAAAAAAAGAUUAACUCAAAUAAGAACAGUGAAGGAGUUGAACGGAGUGUUGGAGUUUUCAUUCUAGCUGAGCUGCCCUCCUUCUCGGAGAGGCUGUGCCUGGGUUAGGAGGCUGGCUGCAGGCCAUGCAGGCCGUGUGGCCUUGGUGGGUCAGUCUGAGCGGACACCCUUUGGUUUUGUCAUAUAUGAGAGGACAGUCGGGUCUGCUGUACCUGCUUGUCAGGGUGACCGUGGAGCUCCAAUGAGGUUGAGGCCGUGAGAACCCCAAACAGCUUUGACACAAGAUUACCUGUCCCUUCUGGGGCCUCUGCUCACAUCAGACGUGGUGGGUUCCCGGUCACUUCUAGAUCCCGGCACUCACUCCUGAUUCCACUUCUGAUUUGUUUGCCUGUCUCCUCCCAGCUUUUGCCCCUACUCUAGAUCCGUUGAGGUCACUGUUUUUCCUCCCAAAAGACUUUUUUUUUUUGACAUUUACAAGUUCCCCUAUUACUAUUUUGUUUAUUACUCUUACAUUUUAUUAUGUUUUUUCUAAUUAUUACAAAUAUUUACAUAUAUUACAUAUAAUUAUUUUAUUAUACUGCUUAUCAGAUUAGGGGUAUUAUAAUGGGGAAUGAAUGAAUUUUGAUUUUUUUAUUUUUCUCUUAAUAAUGUUUCAUUUUCUUUCCUGCUUUACUAAAGUAUGACUGGCAAGUGAAAAUGUGUAUAUUUAGGUUGUACAGUGAGAUUUUUAAAGUUGUACAGCGUGAUAACUUAAUGUACGUAUUGUACGUUACGAAACGAUGUCCACAGUCAGGUUAAUUAAUAGAUCCAUCACCUGUCAUAGUUACCAGUUUGUGAAAUGAACGUUGAGUGUUUUAGUUAUCUCCCCCAUGCUCGUGGAUAGGGAAUGUCACCUUCCCCUGCGUGGGAUGUUCUUCUCCCUUACCUCCCCCCGCAUACUCCAACUCAUCCCUUAAGGUUUCUCUCAGGCAGUCUGUCCUCUGGGAACCCUUUUCUCAGUCCUCAAAGGGGUUAGGAGCUGCGCCGUUUUGCUCCAAGCCCAGAAUCUGGGCACCUCCUGCUCUCUCCCUGUUCCCUUACCAACCCGUGAGCUUCCUUAAGGCCAGGACUCAUUCAUUUAUUAACAAAUAGUGAGUGCCGUGGUGUGCCAGGCACAGUUGUUCUGUUUUAAUGUGAAAUUCACACAGCACAGAAUUAACCGACUUAAAGUGAAUGAUUCAGUGGCAUUUAGUGUUGUGCAACCACCACCCUUGUCUGCUUGCAAAGCACUUGCAUCACCGCAAAUUAAACCCUGGACCCAGGAUGAUGAAAGAGGUCUGGGGAUGGCUAGGAUAGUGGUGUUGGUUGUACAGCUGUGUGAAUGUACUUGAAUGCCACUGAACUGUAGCCUUAAAAAUGGUUACAGUGCAAAGCCGACUUUUAGGGCAGUGAAAACACUCUCUGUGAUACCAUAUAAUGGAUACGUGUACUUAAACAUUUGUUCACAUCCAUAGAAUGUACAACACCAACGGUGAACCCUAAUGUAACCUGGGGACUUUGGGUGAUAAUGAUGUAUUUGUGUAAAAUUCAUCAGUUGUAACAGAUGUACCACUUUAUUGGUGGAUGUUGAUUAGUUAGGGAAACUAUGCAUGUAUGGGACAGGAAAUAUAUGAGAAAUCUCAGUACUUUCCCCUCAGUUUUGCUAUGAACCUUAAACUGCUUUAAAGAAAUAAAAUCCUAAUUAAAAAUGGUUAUAAUGGUAAAUCUUAUGUUAGGUAUAUUUCACCACAAGAAAACAAAAAACCAUGCCCAUUAAGCAUUUACUCUUCCCUCCCUUACCCUGGCCUGUUUUGUGUUGUAUUCAUCAUUAUUUCCUUAGCCAUUAACAAAGUUGUUACUAAAUAAAACUUUGUCAUCUCUUCAACAGCUCUGUAAUGGGAGCUGUACAAAGACAACUGAUUUGUUUUUGUAAUCUCUUCAAUAGCUCUGUAAUGCGAAAAGUUAUCUUUAAGGCUAUUUACUUAUUUAAGGGUUUUCUACUUCUCUACCGAUAUCUCCAUAGAAAUGCCUCUUAAACCAAAGCUAAUUUGUAAGUUUAUCUGCCCAUCUUGGUUAUUUUUAGUUGACGUUUUGGGCUGAUAAUGGUGGUCUUGGUUCUGUACCUGGUGAUGUGUGUCUGGCACACUUGGGAACAAAGAGUCUUUCAAAUACAUGUAGUCGUAUCACAUCUAAGGAUGUUAAAAGUUUUUGAUUACUCUUUCUUAUGGAGGAGACAGAAAAUGAAACCGUCCUGUCAGAAAUCAACAUUUUUACUCCGAUUUUGUCCUUGAAGUGUGGCUGCCUUGUUAAUCCUUUUCUUUCUGCUCACAAGUCACAAAAUCUUGUUUUUCUCUGUUGCUCUAUAAUUUAUAAAAUUGUAUUGCAGUUGGCUUGGGUGGAAUUUACUUAAGCAUCGUUGAGCCUCUAGAUUUUCUUUCUGGCUUAGACAAAAGCAUCAUUAAUUAUGAAUAUGAAUUCCUUUUGCAAAAUGACAAGAUUGAACAUUUCCUCAUGCCAAUAUCCCAGCUGUCUCAUUCUGAUGCUCAACAAAGACUUUUAGAGAUUGUUUUUAAUAGCCAUGGUAUCAGAUACUAAAAAAAAAGCUGAAGAGAAUGCAGAGUAGCUUACUGUUCAUUUGUCUAGAAAAAACAAAACAAAACAUAAUGAAAGGUUUUGGUUUUAAUGUGGCCGUUUCCACUCUUGUAAUGCAUUUGAGGUCUGAAAGUUUUAGUCAUGGCUGCAAACCAAAGGAUCAUUUCCGUUCUCUAAAGUGUUCUGCUGUUGACAGAUGCAAAAUUCCAUUUGUUCAGAUGAUCAGUGCUUGAGAACCCCAAGACUCAGGUCACCUUGUUGCCCACCCUCUGAGGGGCUGAAGCUCACUCUUGGUUUGGCGAUGGAGGUGAUGGGAUGGGAGGUGAUGGGAUGGGAGGUGAUGGAAGGGGCGUCGGUAGCCGGUCAGCCCUCACUGUUUGCCAUCACUGAACCAUUAUGGCUUCACCACAGUCACAGGGUAGCUUCUAUUCCUACCACUGCAGGAAGUGAGCUAGGGUCUGAUUUCACAACCUUCAGGCAUUUUACCACCAUGUUCCGUUGCCUCAGUCCUGAGUGUGUCUGCCCAGCCAUCGGUUGACCAUCUCAGUGAGUCAGUUUCUGAUGUCCCUACUUGCCCUGUAUCCUGUAUUUGCUGCCAGAGAAGUUGACCCAGAUGUGGUCCUUCGUGUUAAAACCCUGGGAAGAGGUUGUCUUGCCUCUGGCCUCCAGCUGGGGUUUUCUAGACUGGAGAUGGACCUAUGUUGUUACAUUCCUAAGUUUAGAGCUCAAGGCUCAGAGAUUUUGUGUGUGCAUGUGUUCAUACAUGUGCUAUUAUUUGAUAAUAUGCCACAGGUUGUUGAAAGACUUGGUUUCUGCUCAGUCUCUUGAGUAAGGAUGUUUUGGGUCACUGUCCCCCUUCUGUUUUAAAAUUUAAUUUUCUGUUUUUGAAUUUUGGACACUUCCUUUUUUUAACAUCUUUAUUGGAGUAUAAUCGCUUUACAAUGUUGUGUUGGUUUCUGCUAUAUAAUAAAGUGAAUCAGCUGUAUGCAUACGUAAUCCCCAUAUCCCCUCCCUCUUGCGUCUCCCUCCCUUCCACCCUCCCUAUCCCAUCCCUCUAGGUGGUCACAAAGCACCGAGCUGAUCUCCCUGUGCUAUGCGGCUGCUUCCCACUAGCUAUCUAUUUUACAUUUGGUAGUGUAUAUAUGUCCAUGCCACUCUCUCACUUCAUCCCAGCUUACCCUUCCGCCUCCCUGUGUCCUCAAGUCCAUUCUCUAUGUCUGUGUCUUUAUUCCUGUCCUGCCCCUAGGUUCAUCUGAACCUUUUUUUUUUUUAGAGUCCAUAUAUAUGCAUUAGCACACGGUAUUUGUUUUUCUCUUUCUGACUUGCUUUACUCUGUAUGACAGACUCUAGGUCCAUCCACCUCACUACAAAUAACUCAAUUUCGUUUCUUUUUAUGGCUGAGUAAUAUUUCAUUGUAUAUAUGUGCCACAUCUUCUUUAUCCAUUCAUCUGUCAGUGGACACUUAGGUUGCUUCCAUGUCCUGGCUACUGUAAAUAGAACUGCAAUGAACAUUGUGGUACUUGACUCUUUUUGAAUUAUGGUUUUCUCAGGGUAUAUGCCCAGUAGUGGGAUUGGUGGGUCAUAUGGUAGUUCUAUUUUUAGUUUUUUAAGGAAACUCCAUACUGUUUUCCAUAGUGGCUCAGUCAAUUUAACCUCAAAAUGGAUUAAAGACCUUAAUGUAAGGCCAGACACUAUAAAACUCUUAGAGGAAAACAUACGCAGAACACUCUAUGACAUAAAUCACAGCAAGAUCCUUUUUGACCCACCUCCUAGAGAAAUGGACACUUCCUUUUGAACCAAAGGCAUUUGUGCGUAAGAAACUUUAUUAUUCUCAUUUUUGGCUUACUUUAAACGGAGGCACUAUAACAUUAAACAUGAACCCAUCUGGCUUAGGUCACAUGGAAAGAAAACGGGCCAGACAGUUCAAUGUAUUGUUGAUUGACUACUUUAGAAAACAUCAGGAGAGGAUCCAAGAUGGCCUGUUAUGGUCAGAGGUUGAGCAAGGAAGGGCCGGACGCCCACUUGUCAGUGUUUAAAAAACAAGACAGACGGUUAGCCAUAUUUCUAAGCCCAUCCAUUCUUUCCCUGUCUUUCCAUAUUUUUUAAAUUGAAGUAUAGUUGCUGUACAGUGUUAUAUAAGUUACAGGUGUACAAUAUAGUGAUUCACAAUUUUUAAAGGUUAUGCUCCAUUUGUAGUUAUUAUAAAAUAUUGGUUAUAUGCCCGGUGAUAUGCAAUAUAUGCUUGUAGCUUUUUUUUUAAAAUUAAUCUAUUUUAUUUUAUUUAGUUUUGGCUGCGUUGGGUCUUUGUUGCUGCGAGCGGGCUUUCUCUAGUUGUGGUGAGCGGGUGUUACUCUUCAUUGCGGCUCGUGGGCUUCUCAUUGCGGUGGCUUCUCUUGCUUUGGAGCAUGGGCUCUAGGCACGCGGGAUUCAGUAGUUGUGGCAUGUGGGCUCAGUAGUUGUGGCUCGCGGGCUGUGGAGCACAGGCUCAGUAGUUGUGGCGCAUGGGUUUAGUUGCUCUGCGGCAUGUGGGAUCUUCCCGAACCAGGGAUUGAACCUGUGUCCCCUGCAUUGGCAGGCGGAUUCUUAACCAUAGUGCCACCAGGGAAGUCCCUAUGCCUAUAGCUUAUUUUAUACCUGACAGUUUGUACCUCUUAAUCGUCUACUCCUGUAUUGCCCCUCCCCCCUUCCCUCUCCCCACUGGUAAACACUAGUUUGUUCUCUGUAUCUGUGAGUCUGCUUCUUUUUUGUUAUAUUCGCUAGUUUGUUGUAUUUUUUAGAUUCCACAGAUAAGUGAUAUCAUAUACAGUAUUUGUCUCUCUCUGACUUUUCACUUCGCAUAAUGCCCUCCGGGUCCAUCCAUGUUGCUGCAAAUGGCAAAUUUUCAUUCUUUUUUAUGGCUGAGUAGUAUUCCAUUAUAUAUACAUGUGUAUGUAUAUAUUUGCAUGUGUGUGUGUAUAUAUAUGUACCACAUCUUCUUUAUCCAUUCAUCGGUUGAUGGACACUUAGGUUACUUCUGUAUCUUGGCAGUUGUAAAUAAUGCUUAAGCCCAUCCAUUUUUGUUUUCUUCGUAGUGUGAUUUGGCUUUAGAAACUCUGUUGUUUCCUUUGAUUGUAUUUAGUAUAAAUUUGGCAUGAAAUGCUAUUUCACAUUACUGUAUCUAGUCAUGGGCUGUGUGUGUGUGUGUGUGUGUGUGUGUGUGUGUGUGUGCGCGUGCGUGCGCACCAUAGGAAGAUGUUCUACCAUGUCCUUGCCUCUCCCCACUUUGUCACUCUGUCCCCCUUCUCUGAAGUAAGAACUUUGUGGGCAGCUGAGCUGACCUGGCCUUGCAGUUAGCCACUGGCCCUGGCAGCUCGCUUCACUCUCUGUACUCCUUCCAGUAGCCUGGACCCCCGCUUCCUGACUCCAGGCUUCCUCUUGCCUCCCAGGGGCCAAGACAGGCCACUCCAGCCUCCUAUCUGCUAUCUUCUUACCCUGUAAGAAUUGAGGCUACAGGGAGAACCCAGCAAGCAGUGCUGAGCCCCGCAUGAGGGCGGCUGCCAAAGGUGGUGAUGGGCACACACGUUGAUAAACGGCUUCCCCACCCUGCUCUCAUUCCACAUAAAAGAGACCACAAAAAUCAUUGCAGCAUGAAAUGGAAGAGAGGGUAGAUGAUUCUGGUGUGCACGCUGCCCUGUUGUUAGUUAGGAAAUUGCAAGGCGUGCUGGUGAAGAACCUUCGAUUUAGAUUAAAUCACAGCCUGCUUUUUUUUGCAGCAUGACCUUUGGCAAGUUGCUUUAACCUCCGUGUACAUCAGUUUUAUUGUCCGUAAAUUGAACUUGAUAAUGGCACCUAUGUAGGAUUGUGGGGAAGAGUCUUUGAGAAUGUGUGUAAAGGGCAGAGUUCAGUGCCUGGUCCGUGGUAGCCUUUAGAAGCUAUUAUUAUGAAUAAGGAGAGCUCCUGUGUAUCAGUACACACGAAUGUGCCAGGCACUGUGCUACGUGCUUGGUAUGUAUAGAUUAUAUUAAUUUUUAUAGAGAGUUGUUCUGAGACAGGUGGUGGUGCUUUAAACAGUGGUCAGGUUGCCUCCGUCAUUGAAACAAUAUGAAAUAUAUGUAGGAUGGGUACAUUUUCAUUGUGGGUAUUUUAAAUAACACACCCCCGCCAACGACCACAACCAGGAAUGGUACAAAAGAGUCCCUUUCGUGCCUGAAAUAGCUUCUCCGAUGUAACCAGAUGCAGGAGUCCUGCGGCUGGCAUUUCUCUCUGUCGAGAGGGGAUUAGUGACUCCGAGCAGAAGGUUAGUUACUUGAGUUUAUCAUUUGCUUUAUUUUUUUAAAGCAUGCUACCGCUUCCCUGUGUUGUUCUGAACUCGACAGUCUGUGUAAGGAUUCCAAAGUCCAGUUUUUCACUUGGGAGGAGGCUGAAUGCAAUAAUCCUCCUUUUCGUUUCUAACACUGACCUUUGGAGUUUACUCCACGUGGGGAAACCUUCCUACUCUGUGCUCUGCGGCUUCAUCCCCAGGUGGCCUUGAAUAGAUCAUUGACUUGCUUACAUGUGAUUAGGGAGUUCCUUCCCUGUGGUCUAAGGAAACCACCACUCUGGCCUCGAGGGUCUUUGUGGCCUGGCUUAGCUUUCCUCCCAUAGGAAGGAGGGCUGGGGUAAGAAUAAAUGUAGAGUAUGCAGGGCGUUAGAGGCAGCGGGGAUGUCAGUGAGAGCUCCUGCAGCCUGCCCUGCUUUGCUGAGGGACGUGCCCUUCAUUCAUACGGUAGAAACCCUGUGCCGGGCCCCAGGGAAUGUUCUCUGACACAGGUGAUGGGUUGUCAAGUUUCUCUGUUAAGAGUACCUUGGUGGUCAGGUCUUUUCAAAGGUGUUCUUUCAAAGAGACGACUGUAAUAGAAGUACUGUAAUAGCAUUCUGUUAGUGUAAUAGGUAUAUUAUAUACUAUUAAUACAAUAGAAAUGGUAUAUUGGAUUCUGGAAGCUAAGCGCCCUAGUUGUGGCAUGUGAAGAGCCUUUGUUUUUUCUUAUAAUCCUCUUCCCUACCUUUCCCUUGGAGUAAUGCCCUCCUCUCCGCGUACCCUAACCUUGCACGGGGCUUCCUUCUUUGUCCCUUUUAGCUGAGACUGGAGGCUGCAGCUGGCUGGCCCUGGCCCCUGCAGGUUUGAUGUGGAGGGUGGAGGCCUGCAGGUGACUCAUCCCCUUCCCAGUCCGGGCUGCCUGCCUCUGGGCCUCGCCUGGUACUCUGCAUCAGCACCCGAUUCCUGAGCUGGGGAUUGAGUUGUUCUGCUUGGGAGAAGCCCUACGUUCCAGAUGUGGUCUGAGCCAGAGGGAAAGCCGUUGCCACUUAAAAAUCUCUUCUGAGGGGACCAUUCUGUCUUUCACACUUUACUAAAAACUGAAACUCCCAUAUGAUUUCAUUUUCCCUGUUUGUUUCCCAGGGCUUAGUAUAUAAAGCAAUCAGGAGAACCUGACUUACUAUUUUGCUAACCCUAGAUCCUAAAAAAGAAAAGUUCUGGAGAGGAUAAUAAAAGACUAAAGAAUGUCUUGGCAGUGGUUAGAGGAGAUUUUAAUUAAAUCUGAAACUAGUGGCUUUGUGAGACUCAUUCCCUUUUUGAGGGUGACUGUUGGGUUUAGUCCUGGUUAAAUCCAGGUACAAAGUGUUGUAUGAAUUUUCUCCCAUUGAAGAGGUACACAGCUUCCCAAGCUCUUUCUCCUAAACCCUGUUGCGAAUGUGUGGGUAGUUUUGAGAUGCCCACAUCUCUAAAUCUUCUGUUGGCGUUCUCUGAAGUUCAUUUAGAGCCCGGAUAAGGAACAGUUACAAGUCGACGAUUGUGGGUUUUUGUACUGCAUCCAGGUUUCCCAUCGUGACCUAAUGGCGGUUGGUUCCUUGGUUCAGCCAACAUAGUCUGAGCACGUUCCACAGUUAGAGGACCGGGCCAGCUUCUGGAAGGAGCUUCUGAAGCAGAUCGGGCAAGGAUUGGGCCCAGAAGGGCUAACUGUCCAGAAUGGGAGAGAAUUCAUGUCCCUUAACACCUAUCCCUCAGAGGAGAAAGGGGCCAUUUCUAUGGGUAUUGAAAUAUUGGUAGGCAGGGGAUGAACCUGAUCUUUCAAAUCACAGGGAACCAUGUAGGACAAGUACACGUUCAUCAUGCAGAGAGCGACUCCAAAAGCCAGAAGGUCAUUUGUCAGGUAGAUUCCACUGUCAUACUGGUUAACUCUCCUGCUGUAGUAAAAACAGAGAGGGAGAUGCGAGGAGGGAGGGAGGGAGAAAGGAAACACACAGUCCAUGCAGUUAGGCUUUAGAGGUGAAGACUUCGAAUCUGUCUGAUCAAGCCCUUGGGCAAGUUUUAUUUAGCACGUGUAAUGUCUAGGUAGGGUUUGCAUAUGAGGUCUAAGGGACGGGCAGGUCGUGUAAAUGAAUGAAUGGAGUCAGGCUGACGAUGCGAAAGUGCGCGCCCUGCCUAGAGCAGACAGACGACCCUCUGGCCAGUGUUGUAUUGUUGGAACGUGGGCCUCGAUCCUUGGACUUCUAUGAACAGCACUGUCCAGUAGAAGGCUUGGUGAUGAUGGAAGUGUCCCAUAUCUGCGUCAUCCAGGAAGGCGGCCACACGUGGUUCUUGAGCCCUUGACAUGUGGCUAGUAUGACCAAGGAAUCGAAUUCCUAAUUUUAUUUCAAUUGAAUUAAUUUAAAGAGCCACAGGUAACUCACGGCUACUGUGUUGGGCAGCAUAGUUGUAGAUGCAGCCAGGGUCUGGGCAUUAUGUGAAACCUUCUGAUUUUUAAGAGUUUGCAGGCUAAAUUUGGCUCAUGGGCUGUCACUGUCCAACCUCCACCCAAAGAUUCAGAGGCGCCUUUAAAAAGUCCUGAUGCUUGGGGCUCACUCCCAGGUGGUCUGAUUUGACUCGUUGGCAGUGGGGCCUGGGCAUCAGUAUUUUCUGAAGCUCCCAGGUUGAUUGUAAGGGCAGCCGAGGUCAGGAACCCCUGCUUAGACCCUAAACAUUGGAGGGUGACAGCGCAAGAUCCUUGUGGAUUUUCAAAUGCUAAAAAACCUGUACUGUGUGCAGUUACUUUCAGAUUCCAUACGUGGUCGAUGAAGAUGGUUAUAACUAUCUCUUAGAGUAAUUGCAAGGAUAAAAUAAAACCAUGGGUUAAGUGAAAAGAACAAAAGUGCGUUGAGAUGCGGGUGCUAGGCUUGGCUUACUCACUAGCCAAACUACUUGCGCUCACAAACCAACCUUGCCUCUGUAGGGGAGGAAAAAAUGUCUUUUUCUAUGACCUUCCUAGGCGUUCUGGCUGGGGCACUGUAAAUUGGACUGAUGCAAGACAGGUUAACAAGAGAAAAGCAUACAGAUCUAUUUAAUGUAAGUUUUAUGUGACGUGAGAGCCUUCACAAGGAAAUGAAGCCCCUGAGAAACAGUUACACCUGAGCGUUUUUAUAGUAAGUUUAAGGAAGAGUGGAAAGUCGUGGGAAAAUGUGAUGGGAUGGAAGGGAAUGAACUAAGGGCUGUUACUGGGGAAAACACAGCAAGGACUGUUUGCUUGGAUCCCUCUCGGCGCCCCUCCGAGGUCAGCGAGUGCUUCCUGCACCUGCCGUUUCUCAAAUCCCUUCAGUUGAAAAUAUUUCUUACACGGAAGCGGCAUCUUUGGGGGCAGCAUAUCCUGAGAUGGGAUUCACGCCUUGCCUUGGCAAAACCGUGAGUUAGCGCUUGCCAUGGACUAUAGAAUUUUUUAAGCGUCGUCUCAGUCAGCAAUGUUUAAAUCAUUGAAUGCCAGUGGUCUCCUGAAAUCAUGCAAAAAUGGCAGGUAUUUGAUAGACGUUGUGCGUUGAUCUGGGUCUGUAAGAUUCCAAAGCUGGUGUCACUCUCAGAAUUACAGGUUGAAAUGGAAUUAAAAGUGGAGAAAGUGAAGGAAGGAUCGGCGUUUUAUAGUCUAAGGACUGUUUUAGGCAUGCAUAUUUGUUUUUAAAGAAAAAACCAACAAGUUCCCAUGGGUCUGUAAGUUCCACAGGGUUGGAGACUGGAUCUGCCUUGUUCAUUGUGUUCCUGGGGCCCUGUACAUUGUAGGGGCUCAUUGAACCUUUGUUGAAUGAGAGGAUGAAUUAGUGCCUACGGGGCCCUGCACUAGAGCGUCAGGAUUAUUUGAGGAAAUUUUUAUUUUUGUUCUUAUUAGGAUAGAGGAUUUGGAGAGGUUAAUUAGUUUUCCCAGGGUUGCAGAGCUAAGUGGCAGAAUCAGUAUUUUAAGUCUGGAAUUGUUCCUACAGGACCGUGCGAACUUCGUUGCUAUAAAUAUGUAUACUGCUAACCCCUAGCUAAAAUCAUCUCUAAAAUGCGUGCAGUGGAUCAAAGGGGGAUCAACUGGGAUCAUGGUUUGGGAGGGAUCAGCCCAUUCUGUCGCCUCCAUUCUGAGGCUCUACCCCUGAAACCUCUUGGGGAUCAAAGACCUGUAGGGGAAAAGAUACAUUUUGAUGUCCUUUACAUCCAUCAGCGUGACCAGUGCUGGACACACAGAGGCAUCUAGUGAGUACCUACCGACCUGAUUCAGAAGAUAUAAAUAAUGUCUCUUAUAUACUUCUUUAGACGAGAAGGGAGUGAAACAUUUAACUUUUAGAAGUAAGCAGGCACAUUUUAAAAUUUGUAGCCCUCUGCCAAGAGGUGAUUAAAAGAGUUUUCCAAGUGUCUUGGGAUUUAUGUAACAGAGGUAUGUGUUUUCUUUCUGAAAUAUACUGUUGUAACACUCCCCUUGCUUAGUUCUGUUCUGCUUUACGCAGAACUCUAAGCCUCCCUUGCCUCUAAAAAAAAAAAAAAAAAAAAAGAGAAAACCAUGUAUACUGCAUCCCUAAAAAUUUAAAGGGUUGGCAAACUAUAACCCAUGACCAAAUUCAGCCUACUGCUGGCCUACAAGCUAAGAAUGUUUGUUUUAAAUAGUUGGAAAAAAAUGAAGAGACUAAUAUUUUGUGACAUGUGAAAGUUAAUGUGAAAUUCAAAUUUAAAAGUCCAUCCAUAAAGCUUUAUUGGAACACAGCCAGCCCAUUUUUGUUCACAGUUGGUCUUUGCAGCCAUGGCAGAGUGGAGGAACAGAGGCUGAAUGGCCCACAAAGCCUGAAAUAUUUACUAAAUGACCCCUUACAGAAAAAGUGUGCCGACCCCUGAUUUAAAGCCAAGUAGCUUAAAUGUAGAAAACAAACUUAUGGUUACCCGGGGGGAUGGGGAGUGAGGGAUAAACUGGGAGAUUGGGAUUGAUGUAUACACACUACAACAUAUAAAAUAGAUAACUAAUAAGGACCUAUUGUAGAGCACAGGGAACUCUACUCAAUACUCUGCAAUGGCCUGUAUGGGAAAAGACUCUAAAAAAGAGUGGAUGUAUGUAUAUGUAUAACCUAUUCACUUUGCUGUACACCUGAAAC